AUUGAACGCUGGCGGCAUGCCUUACACAUGCAAAUCGAACGGUAACGGGCCUUCGGGUGCCGACGAGUGGCGAACGGGUGAGUAAUACAUCGGAACGUGCCCGAUCGUGGGGGAUGACGAGGCGAAAGCUUUGCUAAUACCGCAUACGAUCUACGGAUGAAAGCAGGGGACCGCAAGGCCUUGCGCGGACGGAGCGGCCGAUGGCAGAUUAGGUAGUUGGUGGGAUAAAAGCUUACCAAGCCGACGAUCUGUAGCUGGUCUGAGAGGAUGAUCAGCCACACUGGGACUGAGACACGGCCCAGACUCCUACGGGAGGCAGCAGUGGGGAAUUUUGGACAAUGGGCGCAAGCCUGAUCCAGCCAUGCCGCGUGCAGGAUGAAGGCCUUCGGGUUGUAAACUGAUUUUGUACGGAACGAAAAGCCUUCUUUUAAUACAGGAGGGUCAUGACGGUACCGUAAGAAUAAGCACCGGCUAACUACGUG
rnacentral:rRNA from 1 species